rnacentral:lncRNA from 1 species
AGCGACAGGACGGCAAGGGCUUUUGGCGGCUUCUCCUUGGCACAGUGGCGACUCGCGGCGGCUCGAGAUGCGUCGGAGUUGGCUCACGGUGGCUCGGAAAGUCUAGCAAAGAUUCGGGAUCAUCACUGGUGCUCGGCACAGUCUCGGGAUGGCUUGGCGAAGCUUCAGGCAGCUGCAACGAAGGUUCGCGAUGAUUCGGCAGUGGCUGCAGCGGCGAGGAGCGGUUGAUUGGUGGUGGUGGCUGCUGUUCAUCGAUCUCUC